CCUACGGGGAGCAGCAGUGAGGAAUAUUGGUCAAUGGGCGGGAGCCUGAACCAGCAAAGCCGCGUGAGGGAAGAAGGUACAGCGUAUCGUAAACCUCUUUUGUCAGGGAACAAAGGCGGGGACUAGUCCCCGGAUGAGGGUACCUGAAGAAAAAGCAUCGGCUAACUCAGUGCCAUCAGCCGCGGUAAUACGGAGGAUGCGAGCGUUAUCCGGAUUUAUUGGGUUAAAAGGGUGCGCAGGCGGCCUGUUAAGUCAGCGGGAAAAGCCCGGGGCUCAACCCCGGCGAGCCGUUGAAACUGGCGGGCUGGAGUUGGAGAGAAGUACGCGGAAUGCGCGGGGUAGCGGUGAAAUGCGUAGAUAUCGCGCAGAACCCCGAUUGCGAAGGCAGCGUACCGGCUCCACACUGACGCUGAGGCACGAAAGCGUGGGUAUCGAACAGGAUUAGAUACCCGUGUAGUC
rnacentral:rRNA from 1 species